rnacentral:rRNA from 1 species
GAUGAACGCUGGCGGCGUGCCUAAUACAUGCAAGUCGAGCGAACAGACGAGGAGCUUGCUCCUUUGACGUUAGCGGCGGGCGGGCGAGUAACACGUGUAAAACCUACUUAUAAUACUGGGAUAAUCUCGGGAAACCGGCUCUAAUACCGUAUAAUAUAUUGAACCGCAUGGUUCAAUAGUGAAAGACGGCUUUUCGGUCACUUAUAGCUGGAUCCGGGCCGCAUUAGCUAGUUGGUAAGGUAACGGCUUACCAAGGCAACGAUGCGUAGCCGAACUGUGGGGGGGAUAGCCGACCCUGGAACUGAGACGGGGUCCAGAGUCCUACGGGAGGCAGCAGUAGGGAAUCUGACGCAGUGGGCGGAAGCAUGACGGAACAGCGGCACGUGAGUGAUGGAGGUCUUGGGAUCGUAAAGCUGUGUUAUGAGGGGUAAACAAAUGUGUAAGGAAAUAUGCACGUCGUGACGGUAACUAAUAAGAAAGCCACGGCUAACUACGUG